rnacentral:rRNA from 1 species
ACAGGAUUAGAUACCCUGGUAGUCCACGCCGUAAACGAUGAUAACUAGCCGUUGGGAGGGUUUACCUCUUAGUGGCGAAGCUAACGCGUUAAGUUAUCCGCCUGGGGAGUACGGCCGCAAGGCUAAAACUCAAAGGAAUUGACGGGGACCCGCACAAGCGGUGGAGCAUGUGGUUUAAUUCGAUGCAACGCGAAGAACCUUACCUGGUCUUGACAUACAGAGAACUUUCCAGAGAUGGAUUGGUGCCUUCGGGAACUCUGAUACAGGUGCUGCAUGGCUGUCGUCAGCUCGUGUCGUGAGAUGUUGGGUUAAGUCCCGUAACGAGCGCAACCCUUAUCCUUAUUUGCCAGCACUUCGGGUGGGAACUAUAAGGAGACUGCCGGUGAUAAACCGGAGGAAGGCGGGGACGACGUCAAGUCAUCAUGGCCCUUACGACCAGGGCUACACACGUGCUACAAUGGGAAGGACAAAGGGUCGCUAAGCCGCGAGGUGGUGCUAAUCUCAUAAACCUUUUCGUAGUCCGGAUCGGAGUCUGCAACUCGACUCCGUGAAGUCGGAAUCGCUAGUAAUCGUGGAUCAGAACGCCACGGUGAAUACGUUCCCGGGUCUUGUACACACCGCCCGUCAUACCAUGGGAGUGGGUUGCACCAGAAGUGGGUAGUCUAACUUAGGAGGACGCUCACCACGGUGUGAUUCAUGACUGGGGUAAAGUCGUAACAAGGUA